GGGGGUAUAGCUCAGCGGUAGAGCGUUCGACUACCAAUCGAAAGGUCCUCGGUUCAAAUCCGGGUACCCCUG
rnacentral:tRNA from 1 species